rnacentral:lncRNA from 1 species
GCCGAAAUUCGCGCCGGUCACACUGCUAGCCCACCGCGCCGCCGGAACGCGAUACAGCGCCAUCUGCGGUGUAAAGCGCUAACCUCCAAACAAGCGCCGGAUAUUCCGGAUGUGCCCGCAGCCUCGAAACUGCGCAGUUAUCUCCGCUCGUGUAGAGUUCGCGUGGUUUUAUCUUUGCGCAACGACAAUGAACCCUGAUCAAGAAGAGGCAGUACUGCUAGGCUUGUUGGCAAGCACCUUUCUGGCGAUGCAUGACGCGCAGAAGCAUUCGCAGAAGAGACAACGCCAGCGGCGAUGGUGUGUUCAUGCUGCUUUGCAAAAGCGCGAAAAGCUUGGUCACGACACCAAACUACUACCCCUUCUGCGAGAUCGCGACGUGGAGUACUACAGAGAGCCUGACCUGGU